AUUCCACGUCUUAUCACAUUUGUAUUUAUAAGCCUGCGUCAUUCUUCCCAAGCAUUUUUCUUCAUUCUCAUCACUCGUUCAAGCCAUAUUCAGUAAGAAUAGCAUUGUUGAACCCCACACAAAAUCAAAAAUACACAGUCACACACAAAAACCAAAAUUCUGCACAAACGACAAAAAAUGACAUGCGUGAAAUUCCAUCCCUCAUUCUGAAACGGAUAACAAAUCAGUUUACCGAACAGUACCAGAAUGGGCACUCGUCCAAUUCGACAAUUUAAGAAAUCCUUAUCUCCAGCACAAAAGUUCACCUAACGCAUUGUUUAACCUCAACUCUAUAAAAUUCACGACCCCAAUAAUACAUGGAAGUUUUGUGAAGAAAAAUACAUUAUCUACAGGAGACAAAAAUAGAUAAAUAAAGAGGAAAAAAGUGUGACGAGAAUUCAUUCAUACCGAUGUUUCAACUUAAUCUAGUUUAUUCCUUGUGUUUUGUUCGUCAUCUUACCUUUUUCAGUAGCUAUUAUUCAAUGUGAAAUAUGUCAUCAAUAAAGUUUCGAAACCAUAUCCAAACCAAAAACAAAUCAUUUAGUCCAUUACUUUCGCCCCUCAAUUUACUAUACUAUCCAUGGCUCAAAAUUUCCACCAAAAAAAAGAAGAUAGAAAUUAAAGCUUAAGUGACAAUUUCACAAUAUCCUUUUACACACACAGAAAGCAUAAUUCCCAUAUAUAUAGUCACAGCGUUGAGAAAACAAACCGAGAGAUAGAUAAUGCCUCCCCCUUGGGAGUGAUCACCGGGCACCAUGAACUCGAUCUUGGCCUCAGUAUCAAAAAAGCAAGCGCCUUUCCACUUAAUUGACCCAUUAUUCGGUGUCAAUGAUCCGAUAUACUGCGGCAUCAAAUCAACAGCACUGUGAAUGUUAUUCAUCACCGGCCAUGAAAUCUGAUGUGGUAGCACCGGAAGCACGUCCCUCACUCUGAAUGGUAGCUUAAUUGCAUCCCCAAACUCUAACCCUAAAAUCAUUACAAAUUUCAAUAACCACAGCUUCCUCUCGAUAUUCAACAUAUUUUCAGUGAUAAUUUAAUAAAGUGAAGUUGAAACCGUAAUUAAUUAUCUUAAUUUGAUUUUCGUUGUUAAGAUUUAGACUUCAUUAUGGAUUCAGGGAGUGGAAUUUUCAUUAUUCAGGUUGGUGUGUUCUGGUGNUUUGAUUUUCGUUGUUAAGAUUUAGACUUCAUUAUGGAUUCAGGGAGUGGAAUUUUCAUUAUUCAGGUUGGUGUGUUCUGGUGGGAGGGUGAAGGGGAAUAAGGGCCCUUUCGGGUUGAAUUUCUUGUAGCUGGACGUGUGGAAAGUUGGAAUAUUCUGCUUGGUUGUGACCGCUGAAAUGGACUUUCUUUUAGCUUUGAAAGUUUGAUUGAACGUUUAUUUAGCCCCGUUCGGCCCAUUAAAUUUCAUUUCAUUAUAUAU
rnacentral:lncRNA from 1 species